AAUAAUAUUUUUUAAAAUUUAUUUUUAAUUUAAAAAUAUAAAAUAUUAUUUUAAAUUUUAAAAAACACGGUAGAAACUGGAAACACUACCCGUAAAAACGCUCCCAACUACAAAUAGCAAGUCUGAAGACCCAUGUGAAGAACACCAAAAUUGAAUCUCAUGUGCAAAAUCCAUAGAUUAGGAUGAAAAUAGAGAGAGGAUGUGUUGCCGGUGUGGGGAGGAUCAAUUUUUUUUUGUGUUGGUAAUAAAGAUGUUGAUAAUGAACCUGUUGCUCAACAGGACUGGAGAAAUGGCGUUGUUAAAAGCUGUUUGAGAGCUGUGGUUAGGGUUGUGAAAAGGCUGAGUUAUGGUUUUUAUUUGUUGCGCAGUUGACUAAUAAUGUGAAAGCCGCCGUGGGAACCUUCUAAUUUCAGACAAAAUUGGAUUGGUUUGUCCAGAUCUUUCAGAAUCCUCAAGUUAUUGAAAAUGCUGAAAAACCUAGGACAGCCCCUUCAGCUGUUGCCUUUACCCAAGAGGGAGAGUUGCUUGUGGGCACUCACCAAAACGUCAGGCUGUGACUAAUCCAAGCAAUACAGUUUUUUGAACUUAGCGUUUGAUCGAUAGGAGGUUCGAUGAUCAAAGGAGAUGAAAAUCGUUCCAUCUGACCAAGAUGAAAGAAACUGCAAAAGCAUAUCUCGGAAAAGGAAUUUCAAAAGCUGUGAUCACUUUGCCGGCCUAUUUCGUUGUCCUCCAUAGUCUAGAAAGUUGAUUUAUUGAUUUUUUUUAAUUUUUUUUUAUUAAUGUUGAUAUCCAGACUACCUCCUGCAUAUCUCGAUUAUUUUUUUAAUAUUUUUAUUUUAUAUGAUGAAUGAUAAAUACUAAUUUUAGUUCUUUAA